rnacentral:misc_RNA from 1 species
ACUGAGCUUUGGUGUAAAGAAAUUAAAACUCUUAAUUCUUUAUACAAUAACGGAGCGAGUGUGUGAGCGGCCUGCGCGGCACCGGCGGUAGCGGCGGCGGCGCUCGCGCGGGUUUCCGUGACCGCACGCUGAGACGCGUCCCGAGCUGCUUCCGCCGCUUCUGCACGCGCCGCUUCUUUACGAAGCGCUUCGCGCAAUUGCUUUUCGGAUGCCUUUUUACAACCGAUUAAAUAAUAAAAUGCUUAAAAUGC